rnacentral:lncRNA from 1 species
CAAAUCCUCAAGAACAAUUGUUUUCAUUAUAAUAGCUCAAACAAUCCUCUGGACAAUUUCAAAUAUUCUACUCUAAACAACUGAUAAAACAAAAAGGGAUAAGAGCAGAAAAUUACCAAACUGGCAUAUUCCUUGGUUUCGGAGUCGUGCAAUCCCAGUUUCGUUUUCUAUUGAAUGUAGGCCUAUUGAAUGUAUGUGUAUUGUGUAUGACACUGAAUCAUGGGGAAGACUAUUGUAGGCUGAUUCACCUUUAUUUCCCAAGAAAAUAUCGGACCAUGGUUUUUUUCCUGCCCCUCAAUCCUGAUUGGAAUAGAGCUAGAUCUAGAAUCUAGUCUAGAUUUCUAGAUAAAUCUGUUUAUGGCCGAGAAAAUAUUUUCUCGAUUAUUCUGCAGGUGUCUAGUGCACAGUGACUGAAAAGUGAUGUCUGAUAAAAAGAAAGGUAACUGUCUAAAUCUUGAUUGUUAGUUACAACAGAACUUAUGUAUUAUGUGAUGUAAUGUGCAUUAUUCCACCAUGUAUCAGAUACACAACAGAUGCCGAUCUGUACUAUGUGUAUUGCAUGCCAACAUUACUUCGAAAACUCAUUUAAGAGUAGAGAGUCAUCAAUGAUCGUGAGAUCCAAUAUAUGUAUAUAAAGAGAGAGAGAGAGAGAUAUCUUAUCACUGAUUUCUGAACAAGGUCAGCUGGUUAAGCAUGUAUCAGGAGACUAUUUGUUUAUCGAUUAAAGAUAUAUAUAAAUAGUACUUGUCAUGACACUUGGAAACAGGUGCUUGUCAAGUUUUGGGCAUUGAAUAUAUUGUGGUAUAUUCUGCAAGAUUGUUCAUUUGUUUUGAUUCUGAUUAAAGAAAUAUCCAUCAAUCAUUAGCAGUGGUGGGGAUGCAAUUAAAAUUGUUGGAGAUUAACAAAAUCAGAAGUAAAAUUCGAGAAAAUGGCCACCAAUAAUUGAUGACUUCCAAAUUCUGAGGGUCCUUGCAAGCAGCAAAUUUACAUCUUUUGUGCCUUUGAUCAGCUUUUUCUACUAAAAUCAUCUUUCACUACGAUGCCACAAAUAUAAUACACAUGUGAGGUAUGAUUGAGGUGAAAUCAGACACUCGUCAAAAUAAUUAAAUCAAAGAAACCGGCACUUUUCUGGACGUUGGGCUUUUUCAUUUAUAUUUAAAAACACAUAGAUCUAUUCUGUCUGGAUUUUACUUAAAAGCGUUGAUCAAAAGCACUAAAAAAAAUAAAUUUGCAAUUUCUAAAGAUACUUAACAAAUUGCCCAAACAACCGGGAGACAUUAAAGAAGAAUGGAGCCACUUCAAAGCAAAUGUGAACAGAGCAUUAAAAGAAGAGUGCAGCACCAGGAAAACCGGAGGGCAGAAAAGGAAAACAACUAUAAUAAUAUGGUGGAAUGACCAAGUAAAGGAAGCCAUUCAACUGAAGAAAAAGGCAUUCAAAAAGUGGCAGAAAUCAAAGAAAGAGAGGAAGAUACAUCCCAUACAGAAAGGAGCACCGCCAAACAACAAGGGUUGUAAAAGAAACUAAGGACAGAUCCUGGACAGUAUAUGGAGAACAGCUGGCAACAAAAUGUAAAGAAGACCCCCAGAGAGUUUUACAAGAGCAUUAAAAGCAUGAGGAUGCAGGAAGAACCAUUCAACUCAACUGAAACUGAAAUAGUCGAUGAUGAGAACGGAAACCCUAUUUUCAGUACACCAAAUACAUGUAUUAAGGAAAUCCUACAGGAGAAACAACACCAAACAGCUUCUCACCAAAAGAAACCACUCCAGAACCGUCAAUACUGCUGAGUGAAACUCAACACGUUAUAAAGAAAAACCCGACAAACAAAGCGCCAGGCGUUGAUAACAUCACAGCAGAGGAGAUCAAGCUAUGCUGCCAUAUCAGUGAACUCUGGCUAUGGAGGAUAUUUAACCUGGCCUUGUCGAAAAAUACAACACCCGAUGACUAGCAACGAGCUGUCAUUCUACCUAUUUGGAAAA